UUUUCUUUUCUAGCAUGUCAUAACCUGUUAUAUUUUAAUAAAUGACAAGCCUGUUAUUACGAAAGCACCCCUAACGAGCAAAGUAAGUGGACCAGUCAACGGAAACGAAUGCUAUUUUUGGAGAACCACGGGUUGCGUUUACGGUGACAAAUGUCUCUACCAUCAUAUAAAACAGAACAAAGGAAUAGAUAAAAAAGCCUGGCACGAUAAAAAAUAAUAUAUUUUCCAUAUUUUAGAUUAUAAAAAAAAUUUAUAAACCCAACAAAAUACUAUUUGAAAAAUUUUGUACCAAGCCAAACGUUUUUGUCGUUUUUUUUUUUUGUUUUCUUUUGUUCGGACUUCGUCUCCAUAUUUUGGGAUUCAAAAAAUAUCCAAUUUUAUCGCAUGUUAUUGUUUUAAACGUUUCCAAAAGUUCAACAUUACUUAAAAUAUUUUAAAAUAAUUAUAAAAAAAAUAUAAACAAUUUCGGUUGGUGACGUGUCCGGAUAACUUCACGUGGCAAAAGUCCUUUGUUUUGUUCUGUACGCGCUUUCUGCCUGGAAUUUUAUUUUUAUUUAUUUAUUUUAAUGAUUUAUCGGUCAAGAUGAACAUUGAAUGACUGUACAGACAAGUUUUGCUACUCAGAUUUUCUUAUUCUUUUCGCUCUUUCUCACUCGUAACAAAUUUUCCUGUGGUCGAUCCGAAUGUGCCCUAAAGAUUUCACACAAACAAAAUAUUUAUACAAAUAUCUACCGCUAUUUUCUCAAUGGUAUGUAAGAUACAAAGUUGCAUUUAUCAUUUGUUUUUUUUUUUUUUUUCAAAAAAAUACUUGAAUUUUGGUGUAAGUACAAUUUUUGUUUCUCUCGCUUUAGCUGUAAGUUUAGUCUCUUUUAUAAAUUUAAUUUUAUUAUGAUAUACUUGAAAAUAGUAAUAAAGUUAUAUGUUGUUUAUAACUUUAGUAGUUCUGGAUUUGUGCUUCUUUAUCACUGGAAUUUAAUCUUCGUUCCGAGUUUUGCAAAGCGAAACAAAGAUGUCGGGAGUGGUGAAAUAUUAUCGUUUAUAAUUCGGUUGUUUGCUUAUCAUUUUAUGAAUAAUUCGCGUGGUUUAUGCCAAGUACAGUAAAUAAUGAUCCUUAUAGUUGUUGUGUGUUAAUUUUAUACGUAUAUUUGAAAUCACAAUAAACACACGUAAGCUAGUUUAUAUGUAUAUAAGGAUA